GUCUAUGUGGGACUGUGCGGGGCAGCCUUCGGGCUGGCCGGUUACUCUUUACCGGUAGUUCCAACCUCGCACAGCUCCCGCUCCUCU
rnacentral:antisense_RNA from 12 species